rnacentral:lncRNA from 1 species
GCUACACCCAGGAGCCUCAGCUCAGGGCUCCAAAACUGCAAGUCCGAAUUUACGCUCGCUGUGGGGCUCAGCUGCUGAUGCCGAGUUGAUCACGGUCAUGUGGCCAUUCCAAACCUUGACCUGACAGCACUAUAGGAAUGCUGAAAGAGUUUAGAGUCAUGGAAGAAAUUUUCAAGGAGGAAAUAAAAAUGUCAGGAGCAUACAUGACAGCCCAGGAUGGCCCCAGAUGGAGCAGGCAGAGUCACCAAAACAGAAGUCCCACAGAGAGGUGCGUGGCAUGAGAAGGAACAGAGGCCUCAGCCCAACAGCUUGCCAGUGUGUCAAAUGGACCUCAGGAGUGAGUGUGGAGUUAGGUGCUCCGUCCCCUGCUGGAAACCGAGGUGGAGCUUGCCUGGUGGCAGAGAGACCCUGAGCCAGGACCAGCCACUGAGCUGCAGUCAGCCGCCAAAGUUUGGAGUAAUUUAUUGUCUUGCAAUGAGAAACCAAGGCCAGUGCCAGCUGCAGGUAACAACGGGAAUGAGGACCUAUAGGUCAGCCAAAACAAGAUGCAACGAGCGGUAAAUAACAAAGUGGGAAAUGCCUGUGAGGGGCUAGGGUUCGUGUGUUCUGGGUUCCUGUGCCACAGAUGAGGGCAGAGAGACCGAUCUAUUGUAAAAUGUGUUAAAUAAAAAUUUAUGUUUAAACUUCAAAAAGCAAUUAGUAAAGGAAUAAAAACACAAUUUCCAAACCACUGAAGAAGGAAAAAUGAAUGAAGGAAACUACUAAGGAAAAGAAAAGAACAAAAACAGAAGCAAGAAAAAAAAGCACAGAGUGAUAAAAGCUACAGGGUGGAGCGUGCCUAAAAACCCAGUGCUCAGGAAGGCUGAAGCAGGAGGAUCACAAGCUCUAGCCCAGCUUGGACCAUUUAGUGAUUUUGUAGGACCAUGCGGCAAAACAAAAAAUACUGUAAGUAAACAAAAAAGUAAACCAAUAAAGUUAAAAAGGCUGAGGAUACAGUACAGUGCAAAUUCCCAGCACUGCAAAAAGCAAGAAAAAACCUAGUAGGGGUGGGGUAAGUAAGCUGUUAGAAAGUAAUACAAAUAAGAGUUAUUGCAGCAGAUAUGAACAAAGAUAUCUGAACGGCUGAGUGCACGUUAUCUCAUAUCGCAUAAACUCUAGAGCUUGUCAUUUCCUUCCUUUCUACACUCAAAGGAACUCAGAACUGCCAGUGGCUUGUGACAUGCAUCGUUUUUGAGGAGGCAGCUUGCAGGCGUGAGUCAAAAUUAGUGACAUAAUUAAAUUCACGGCGGCCAGUUUGAAGCUUGAGCUCGUGGGGUGUGAACUGUGUUCGAGGUCCAGAGCUGGACACAGCAUUCUCCUACUCGUGGCCUCGCGUCUUAGUUUCCCAGGCAUAACCUCUUCAUAACUUGUAUUUGUG